CAGCAGGAAAAGGAAACAGACAGACAGACAGACAGACAGACAAACCUGACAGCUAAGUAAGGAACAAAGUACAGAAAAAAUCAUCUGCCAGUCUACCUGGACUCAUAAAUGAUUGACUUACUUGAGGCAUCGUCCAGAGCAGCAGUUCUCCUCUCCAAACUCAUCAUACGUCAACAGGUUAUCGCGGCUCCUGGCCCUGGGACCGUUAGCUCUAACCCCUGGCCGACUGUUCUGAUAAACCGCCGAGGGUCUGUGGAUCAUCCUGGACGUGGUCACCGGUGUAAGGUGUAACAGGAUCGUAUCGAGGUGAGAGGAUGGCAGAGGGUGAAGGAGUUUAAUCUGUGAUGAAUGUCAGCCGUGAGAGUUAUUGUUAAGACUUCCUCCUGUGACUGGAACAGAGCAGAACAAAGAUGUGGAG